UACGUAGGGAGCGAGCGUUGUCCGGAAUUACUGGGUGUAAAGGGAGUGUAGGCGGGACUGCAAGUCAGAUGUGAAAUGUAGGGGCUCAACCCCUGAACUGCAUUUGAAACUGUGGAUCUUGAGUGAAGUAGAGGUAAGCGGAAUUCCUAGUGUAGCGGUGAAAUGCGUAGAUAUUAGGAGGAACAUCAGUGGCGAAGGCGGCUUACUGGGCUUUUACUGACGCUGAGGCUCGAAAGCGUGGGGAGCAAACAGG
rnacentral:rRNA from 1 species